rnacentral:rRNA from 1 species
GACAGAGGGUGCAAACGUUGUUCGGAAUUACUGGGCGUAAAGCGUGUGUAGGCGGCCUCGCAAGUCGGAUGUGAAAGCCCUGGGCUCAACCCAGGAAGUGCACUCGAUACUGCUUGGCUUGAGUCUCGGAGAGGUUGGUGGAAUUCUCGGUGUAGAGGUGAAAUUCGUAGAUAUCGAGAGGAACACCGGUGGCGAAGGCGGGUCUCUGGGCCGAUACUGACGCUGAGGAGCGAAAGCGUGGGGAGCGAACAGG